rnacentral:lncRNA from 1 species
GUAUUUCACCAUAUUGUAAUUGAACAAAAAAAAUCAAAAAAAGAAGAAGAGGAAAUUCGAAAAGAAAAUCGAAAAAAAUCGAAAAAAAAGAUUCAAAAAAAAUUCGAAGUAUAAAAAAAAGUGAAAAGUCUUGUGAGUUUUAUUUUGUUAUCAUUUCUUGUUACUUCCGAACAUCCAUUCAUUCUACCAUUCCUUCUAC